rnacentral:rRNA from 1 species
AUUGAACGCUGGCGGCAUGCUUUACACAUGCAAGUCGAACGGUAACAGGGUGCUUGCGCCGCUGACGAGUGGCGAACGGGUGAGUAAUACAUCGGAAUGUACCCAGUAAUGGGGGGUAACGCUUCGAAAGGAGUGCUAAUACCGCAUCCGCCCUGAGGGGGAAGGUGGGGGACCGCAGGGCCUCACGUUAUUGGAGCAGCCGAGGGCUGAUUAGCUAGUUGGUGAGGUAAAGGCUCACCAAGGCGACGAUCAGUAGCGGGUCUUAGAGGACGAUCCGCCACACUGGAACUGAGACACGGUCCAGACUCCUACGGGAGGCAGCAGUGGGGAAUCUUGGACAAUGGGCGAAAGCCUGAUCCAGCAAUGCCGCGUGCGUGAAGAAGGCCUUCGGGUUGUAAAGCGCUUUUGUCUGGGAGCAAAUCCUGGCCUCUAAUACAGGUCGGGGAUGAGAGUACCAGAAGAAUAAGGACCGGCUAACUACGUGCCAGCCGCCGCCGUAACAC